rnacentral:lncRNA from 1 species
UCUUGCUGCCACUAUCAUCACUCGUACUAAGGUUUUGUACUUGAACCUGGAACACAUGGCACAUAACAAUUAUCAGACAUGUCUGGUGAGUUAUAACUUAAUACAUUAAUUAAAUUACUAUAAACCAUAACGACCGAAAUAUAGUCUCAUCAAUAACUAUGGCUAUCCAUAUUAUGGCCCCGACAAUAAUUUACGGUUAUCCAUAUUAUGGUCCCAUCAAUAAUUCACGUCUAUCCAUACUGGAGAACAAAUCAUCCAAAUGGUCACGUCUUAGUCCAUAAGGACCCUUAGGCAAGCUUGCAAUAUCUUUUCUCUUUAUCUUUUCUUGUGUUACUUAAUAUUUAUGUAACAUCACAAUACAACUAUAUAAUCAAUUGAACAAUACAUUCUAAGUGCCAACAAAUUUAAUAAUCACUUAUUUCAUUAAGCACAACAUACAAGCCAUGUAUUCAUACUUUACAAGGUUUUAUAGCUCGCCUUAAAGAAAGCUACAUUGAUUAACUUUUAUUAUCGCACUGCUGAGCAAUCCUUUCCUUCAAUCCUAAUAAAUUAAUACAUUGCAAUAAUUCAACAACUUAUAAUGCUUCUGCAUAAUGCUCCUAACUAGUACUUUAUAAUUCCUCUAAUUAAAUAUCGAUUAUUCUUAUGUAUGUCAAUAUAAUAUUGACUUUUGUUCAAGGUUGUAGAACUCGUUACUCGGUACCUGUUCAGCCGACUACCGAGUAGCGAGUACUCGGGGAGUACUCGGAUUUGGAAAUUUGUGUAGAAAUAUUUUUAGGGAAAUUAUAUAUGUCAAAAUAAUAAGAUAAAAUCAUAAGUUGAUUGAAAUAUAUAACAAAAUUGGAUACAUGUGAAUACACAAAAAAUGAAAAACACAUAAUGGUCUCACUUCAUGAAUAAUUAAUGAAAAAUUUAAGAUAUAUAUGUAGUAAAAAUUGCAUGUGCGUGUGUUAAAUAAUAAAUCAUUAAGUAUAUUAUACAUAUUAAUCACCGAAGUGACUGAAUUUCACAACACUACUCAAUUCAGUAAGGGGCUGAUCGGUGAGUACUCAGGAUUAUGUACCUCGCCUCGUCAAGGGGGGGAGUAGCCGGUACUUGGAGGAGUAAUCGGCCAAUUCGGCGAGUUUUACAACACUGCUUUUGUUAGUCAAAAAUCUUGAUAAAUUCCAAAAUAAUAUGUCGCAUCCUAUUUCCAAAAUUUCAAUAUUCACGUUUGAUGAAAAAGAUCAAAUCCUCCACUUUAUAUUAAACAUGUUUCUUUAAACUUAGACAUGUUUAAUAAUUAAAUCGAUGAAUAUGCAAACGUAUAUUUUUUUAACAUGCAUUUGGUUAUAAGAUUCUAAGCUUCUUAUGAAACACAAAAAUCCAUUAAAUAAUAUCAAAUAAAUAAAAAGACGUUUAAAUACCUUUAGCUUAAGUAGAAAACAAUAAAUCUUGACUUAAAAGGGUAUUGUAUUUUUCGUUUUGUACAUGUUUAGUCAUUGAAAUUUUUUUUUGUCCACAUUUUCCCGCUAAACUUGUUUUGUUGUCCAUAUCUUACCCUUAUGACUGGUUGGUGUGGGUUUAACCGGUUUCCGGCGGUCUUUGCAUUUCCGAUGAUACUCCGGUCAUCUUCUCCGACAAGUCUCUGGACAAUAUGAUUUUUCCGGCGAGUUGUAACACACAAGUAAGGUUUUGAUUUUUCAGAUUAACAACUCAAGAACACACACAACACACUAGAUUUCGAUUUCCAAAAUUAAAUACACAAACACACACCUCACUUCUUGAUCGUCGUUCUCAUUAGCCACUACUACCACCAAGCCCUUCUUCCGCCUCCCUCAUCUCUCUAUUAACAAAUCGAUUACGUUUUCUAGCUAGAUUUGUUUAUCCAAAGCAACCCAAGUCACCAUUAAAAUUGUUUACUGUUCAUUGUCUU